rnacentral:rRNA from 1 species
CCAGAGAUGGAUUGGUGGCCUUCGGGAACUCUGACACAGGUGCUGCAUGGCUGUCGUCAGCCCGUGUCGUGAGAUGUUGGGUUAAGUCCGUAACGAGCGCAACCCUUGUCCUAGUUACCAGCACGUUAUGUGGGCACUCUAAGGAGACUGCCGGUGACAAACCGGAGGAAGGUGGGGAUGACGUCAAGUCAUCAUGGCCCUUACGGCCUGGGCUACACACGUGCUACAAUGGUCGGUACAAAGGGUUGCCAAGCCGCGAGGUGGAGCUAAUCCCAUAAAACCGAUCGUAGUCCGGAUCGCAGUCUGCAACUCGACUGCGUGAAGUCGGAAUCGCUAGUAAUCGUGAAUCAGAAUGUCACGGUGAAUACGUUCCCGGGCCUU